rnacentral:rRNA from 1 species
UUUUUUUUUAAAACAUAGCUUUAGGAAAUUAUCUAAAGUUAAACCUGCUCAGUGUAUAAAUUUUUUAAAUAUGGUAUAAAUAGCCGCGGUACUUUGACCGUGCUAAGGUAGCGCAAUAAAUUGGCUUUUAAUUGGAGUCAGGUAUGAAUGGAUUUACGGAAUUUAGCUGUCUCUAAACUAAUUUCUUGAAAUUACUAUAUAGGUGAAAAAGCCUAUAUAAAUAAAAUAGACGAGAAGACCCUUAGAGUUUUAUUUAAUGUAAGUUAUUCUUACAAUAAUUUAGUUGGGGCAACUUAGGAACAGAAAUAUUAGUAACUUCCUAAAAUAUGAUUAUUUAACGAUCUUAGUAAAGUUAUAUAAACUACCUUAGGGAUAACAGCAUAAUUUAUUUUAUAAGUUUGUGACCUCGAUGUUGGACUAGGGAAUUAGAAGGCUAGCCGCUUUUUAAAAAGGUUCUGUUCGAACUGUUAAUCCUACAUG